rnacentral:ncRNA from 1 species
AACAAAGCGUUGAGUAAGAGUAGUAGGCUGUUUGAACACUCAAAGAGAGCCGGCGGAGGUGUGAAUCCGGCAGUUGGAUAACAGUUGAAUGGACUUAUGAGCGGCAUUUGAAGACUAGUAGGAUGACCCGGGAUUCUCCCGUUACAGAGAUAGGAUAUCGGAACAAGUUCCCGUAUCUGAAAGAGAUAAUCUUUUAUAAGAUUGAAAGAGGUGGCACCGCGAUAACACGCCCUCUAU